GGGUAUAUAGUAUAACGGUAGAACACGGCACUUUUAAUGCCGCAGAUAUGGGUUCAAAUCCCAUUAUACCCA
rnacentral:tRNA from 2 species